AUGGCCGACUCUGCAUGCUGCCCUCUUUGCGGGGCUCCUGAUUCAUGGCGCCAUGCUCUUCUGGACUGCUCUCCAGCAAGAUGUGUAUGGGCAUUGGCCAAUGAGACGAUGGUGCAGAAGAUGACUGAAGUUAAAGACACACAUGCAAAGCAAUGGAUUUCAGCUAUGCAGGACCUGUUAUCGCACGUGGAAUACACUGAGAUGGUUGUGCCACUUUGGGCAGAGUGGUAUUCCAGAAGAAAAGCUGUUUAUGAGCAUGAUUUUCAGGCACCCUUGAAAACACAUCACUUCAUCAGAAGGUAUAUUCUUGAACUGGGAAACAUAGAACAGAAGUUGAAGCCCACACAAACAGUAACAGAAUUUUGGUGA
rnacentral:rRNA from 1 species